rnacentral:rRNA from 1 species
UACGUAGGGUGCAAGCGUUAAUCGGAAUUACUGGGCGUAAAGCGUGCGCAGGCGGCUUUGCAAGACAGAUGUGAAAUCCCCGGGCUUAACCUGGGAACUGCAUUUGUGACUGCAUGGCUGGAGUGCGGCAGAGGGGGAUGGAAUUCCGCGUGUAGCAGUGAAAUGCGUAGAUAUGCGGAGGAACACCGCUGGCGAAGGCAAUCCCCUGGGCCUGCACUGACGCUCAUGCACGAAAGCGUGGGGAGCAAACAGG